GACGAACGCUGGCGGCGUGCUUAACACAUGCAAGUCGAACGAAGUGGCGAACGGGUGAGUAACGCGUAAUCAACCUGCCCUUCAGAGGGGGACAACAGUUGGAAAAGACUGCUAAUACCGCAUACUGAAGGAGGGGAUUGCGUCUGAUUAGGUAGCUGGAGGGGUAACGGCCCACCAAGGCGAUGAUCAGUAGCCGGGCUGAGAGGAUGAACGGCCACAGUGGGACUGGGAAACGGGCCAGACUCCUACGGGAGGGAGCAGUGGGGAAGCUUCCGAAAUGGACGAAAGUCUGACGGAGCAACGGCGCGGGAGUGAUGACGGCCUUCGGGUUUUAAAGCUCUGUUAAUCGGGACGCGGUACCGGAAUAGAAAGCCACGGCUAACUACGUGCCAGCAGCCGCGGUAAUAC
rnacentral:rRNA from 1 species